GAUGAACGCUGGCGGCGUGCCUAAUACAUGCAAGUCGAGCGAACAGACGAGGAGCUUGCUCCUCUGACGUUAGCGGCGGACGGGUGAGUAACACGUGGAUAACCUACCUAUAAGACUGGGAUAACUUCGGGAAACCGGAGCUAAUACCGGAUAAUAUAUUGAACCGCAUGGUUCAAUAGUGAAAGACGGUUUUGCUGUCACUUAUAGAUGGAUCCGCGCCGCAUUAGCUAGUUGGUAAGGUAACGGCUUACCAAGGCAACGAUGCGUAGCCGACCGGAGAGGGGGAUCGGCCAAACUGGAACUGAGAAACGGUCCAGACUCCUACGGGAGGCAGCAGUAGGGAAUCUUCCGCAAUGGGCGAAAGCCUGACGGAGCAACGCCGCGUGAGUGAUGAAGGUCUUCGGAUCGUAAAACUCUGUUAUUAGGGAAGAACAAAUGUGUAAGUAACUAUGCACGUCUUGACGGUACCUAAUCAGAAAGCCACGGCUAACUACGUG
rnacentral:rRNA from 1 species